rnacentral:misc_RNA from 1 species
UUAAGAAAAUAUCAAUAAGAAACGAAAGCGCGCGUUUAACGCUAUUUGGCUCGACUUUCGUUGGUGCAAACUAAUUAUUAUCGAGUUCGCGUAUUACUAGCACUUGUUUGAUGAUGAUUUAAUCGUUUAGGAAAUCGAACAAGUUUGAAAACGAAUUAAUUUAGAGGACGACUUACAUAAAGCAUUUAAAAAGUUCUGCGACCAAUUUGAAGCUCUAAUAACUUUCACACUGGAUCUUGUUUGUUAUUUUGAUAAGAGAAAAAAUGGAUCCUGUACAAUUGGACCGGUAAAGAAAAAUCGCAAAAGGGAACGAAGAAAUUUCAGAAAAGAAAGCGAAGCUAAACGCCAAAAUGAGACAAAAGCGGUUUCGUAAGGAGUAGGAAGUCGGUUUUUGUUUGAUAGUGUAAUGAUAGAGUGCCAAUGUAUCUGCAUCGACUAGAUAUGUACGUACCGUGCCAUGUGAAAGAUUAGGGGAAGCAAAUACCUUAAAGCAAGUCAUCGAAAACGUCUUUCCACGGAAAUCUAUGUGCGAUACUUUCCUACACACUUCGCGCGACACGUGAGAGAAAACGAGAAAUUCCAC